rnacentral:rRNA from 1 species
UACGAGGGGGGCAAGCGUUGUUCGGAAUUAUUGGGCGUAAAGGGCGCGUAGGCGGUGCGGUAAGUCUGAUGUGAAAUCUCCGGGCUCAACUCGGAGUCUGCAUCAGAAACUGCCGUGCUCGAGUGUGGGAGAGGUGAGUGGAAUUCCCGGUGUAGAGGUGAAAUUCGUAGAUAUCGGGAGGAACACCAGUGGCGAAGGCGGCGACCUGGGCCAAUACUGACGCUGAGGUGCGAAAGCGUGGGGAGCAAACAGG